rnacentral:rRNA from 1 species
AGUGGCGGACGGGUGAGUAACGCGUGGGUAACCUGCCCCAUACAGGGGGAUAACAGAUAGAAAUGUCUGCUAAUACCGCAUAAGACCACAGCACCGCAUGGUGCAGGGGCAAAAACUCCGGUGGUAUGGGAUGGACCCGCGUCUGAUUAGCUGGUUGGCGGGGUAACGGCCCACCAAGGCAACGAUCAGUAGCCGACCUGAGAGGGUGACCGGCCACAUUGGGACUGAGACACGGCCCAAACUCCUACGGGAGGCAGCAGUGGGGAAUAUUGCACAAUGGGGGAAACCCUGAUGCAGCGACGCCGCGUGAAGGAUGAAGUAUUUCGGUAUGUAAACUUCUAUCAGCAGGGAAGAAAAUGACGGUACCUGACUAAGAAGCCCCGGCUAACUACGUGCCAGCAGCCGCGGUAAUACGUAGGGGGCAAGCGUUAUCCGGAUUUACUGGGUGUAAAGGGAGCGUAGACGGCAUGGCAAGUCUGAUGUGAAAACCCGGGGCUCAACCGCGGGACUGCAUUGGAAACUGUCGGGCUAGAGUGUCGGAGAGGCAAGUGGAAUUCCUAGUGUAGCGGUGAAAUGCGUAGAUAUUAGGAGGAACACCAGUGGCGAAGCGGCUUGCUGGACGAUGACUGACGUUGAGCUCGAAAGCGUGGGGAGCAAACAGGAUUAGAUACCCUGNUA